AGCUCCAAUAGCGUAUAUUAAAGUUGUUGCAGUUAAAAAGCUCGUAGUUGGAUUUCUGGUAGAAGGUUAGGGCGCACCUGUGUGAGGCCCGCGUCUUCUGCCAUCCUUCUGUUAACCUUUCUCGACAUUGAUUUGUCGGUUUGGGGCUCAGAUAUUUUACCUUGAGAAAAUUAGAGUGUUUCAGGCAGGCUUGUGCCCGGAUACAUUAGCAUGGAAUAAUAGAAUAGGACUUUAACCUCUUCUGUUGGUCUGAGGGGUUGGAGUAAUGAUUAAUAGGGAUAGUUGGGGGCAUUAGUACUUAACUGUCAGAGGUGAAAUUCUCGGAUUUGUUAAAGACUAACUUAUGCGAAAGCAUUUGCCAAGGAUGUUUUCAUUA
rnacentral:rRNA from 1 species